rnacentral:rRNA from 1 species
UGAGGAACAUGACCUUCGGCGGGGGAGUAGCCGGCCCAACGGCCGGGUAAUACCGCGUACGACCACAUGGGGACAUCCCUGAGUGGUGAAAGCAGCAAUGCGCCGAUGGAGUGCCUCGCGGCCUAUCAGCUAGUUGGUGGGGUAACGGCUCACCAAGGCAACGACGGGUAGCUGGUCUGAGAGGAUGGCCAGCCACAUUGGGACUGAGACACGGCCCAGCUCCUAGGGAGG